UCGUUUGGUUUUUUAAAUCUG
rnacentral:piRNA from 1 species